UGGUUUUGGAAUGAGGGUGAUGGUGGCCUCAUAGAAUGUCUUUGGGAGUAUUCCUUCUUCUUCAACCUUUUGAAAGAGUUUAAGGAGGAUGGGCACCAAUUCCUCUUUAUAUGUUUGAUAGAAUUCACCUGUGAAGCCAUCUGGUCCUGGACUUUUAUUUGUAGGGAGUGAUUUUAUGACCUCUUCAAUUUCAUUUCUAGUGAUCGGUCUGUUCAGUUGGUCUGUUUCUGCUUGAUUCAGUUUUGGCAGGCUGUAAGAUUCUAGAAAAUUGUCCAUUUCUUCCAGAUUGUCAAACUUGUUGCCAUACAGUUGUUCAUAGUAUUCUCUUAUGGUUUUUUGUAUUUCUGCUGUAUCCGUUGUGAUUUCUCCUUUUUCAUUUAUAAUUUUGGUUAUUUGGGUUCUUUCUCUCCUCUUUUUAGUGAGUCUGGCCAGGGGUUUGUCAAUUUUGUUCACCUUUUCAAAGAACCAGCUCUUGGUUUUAUUAAUUUUCUCUAUUGUUUUUUGAGUCUCUAUUUUAUUGAUUUCUUCUUUGAUCUUUAUAAUUUCCUUCCUUCUGCUGACUUUAGGACUUUUUUGUUCUUCUUUUUCUAAUUCGUUUAGGUGGAGGGUUAAGUUGUCAAUUUGGGAUCUUUCUUCUUUUUUGAGAAAGGCCUGUAUUGCUAUAAAUUUCCCUCUGAGCACUGCUUUCGCAGCAUCCCAUAGAUUUUGAGAGGUUGUGUCUUCAUUAUCAUUUGUUUCAAGGUAGUUUUUAAUUUCCUUCUUGAUUUCCUCAUUGACCCAUUGGUUUUUUAGUAGCAUGUUGUUUAGUCUCCAUGUAGUAGUUUUUUCUCAUUUCUUUUCCUGUGGUUGAUUUCUAUUUUCAUGCCAUUGUGGUCAGAGAAGAUACUUGAAAUUAUUUCUAUACUCUUAAAUUUAUUGAGGUUAGCUUUGUGCCCCAGGAUGUGAUCAAUCCUUGAGAAUGUUCCAUGUGCACUAGAGAAGAUUGUGUAUUCUGAUUUUUUUGGAUGUAAUGUCCUAAAAAUAUUGAUGAAGUCUAACUUUUCUAUUGUGUCCUUUAGUAUCUCUGUUGCCUUAUUGAUUUUCUGUGUAGAGGAUCUAUCCAUUGAUAUGUGUGGGGUGUUAAAGUCUUCUACUAUGAUUGUAUCCCCAUCAAUUUCUCCUUUUAUGUCUGUUAGUAAUUGUUUGAGGUAUCUGGGUGCUCCUAUAUUAUGGGCAUAUAUAUUGAUGAUUGUAAUAUUCUCUUCUUGAAUGGAUCUUUUAACCAUUAAAUAGAGUCCUUCUUUGUCUUUCUUUAUGGCCUUCAUUUUAAAGUCU
rnacentral:lncRNA from 1 species